rnacentral:rRNA from 1 species
GAGGGGGGCAAGCGUUGGUUCGGAAUUAUUGGGCGUAAAGGGCGCGGUAGGCGGUGCGGUAAGUCACCUGUGGAAACCUCUAGGCUUAACCUAGAGCCUGCAGGCGAAACUGCCGUGCUUGAGGGUGGGAGAGGUGCGUGGAAUUCCGGUCGUAGAGGUGAAAUUCGUAGAUAUCGAGAGGAAUACCUGUGGCGAAGGCGGCCAACUGGACGAGUACUGACACUGAGACACGGAAAGCGUGGGGAGCAAACAGG